GAGUGAAGCGGCGACAGCUCAAAUUUGAAAUCUGGCCUCCUCCGGGGGCCCGAGUUGUAAUUUGCAGAGGGUGCUUUGGUGGUGGCGGCGGUCUAAGUUCCCUGGAACAGGACAUCGCAGAGGGUGAGAAUCCCGUACGUGGGCGCCUGCCACCUCCGUGUAAAGCCCCUUCGACGAGUCGAGUUGUUUGGGAAUGCAGCUCUAAAUGGGAGGUAAAUUUCUUCUAAAGCUAAAUACCGGCCAGAGACCGAUAGCGCACAAGUAGAGUGAUCGAAAGAUGAAAAGUACUUUGGAAAGAGAGUAAAAUAGCACGUGAAAUUGUUGUAGAGGAAGCGCUUGCAGCCAGACUUCCCCGUAGUUGCUCACCCGGGCUCUUGCCCGGGGCACUCUUCUGCGGGGAGGCCAGCAUCAGUUUGGGCGGUCGGAGAAAGGCCUCUGUCACGUAUCUCCCUCCGGGGUGACCUUAUAGGGGAGGCGUAAUGCGACCAGCCCGGACUGAGGUCCGCGCAUCUGCCAGGAUGCUGGCGUAAUGGCUGUAAGCGGCCCGUCUUGAAACACGGACCAAGGAGUCUAACAUCUAUGCGAGUGUUUGGGUGUCAAGCCCGGGCGCGCAAUGAAAGUGAACGGAGGUGGGAACCCUCGGGUGCACCAUCGACCGAUCCUGAUGUCUUCGGAUGGAUUUGAGUAAGAGCAUAGCUGUUGGGACCCGAAAGAUGGUGAACUAUGCUUGAAUAGGGUGAAGCCAGAGGAAACUCUGGUGGAGGCUCGCAGCGGUUCUGACGUGCAAAUCGAUCGUCAAAUUUGGGCAUAGGGGCGAAAGACUAAUCGAACUAUCUAGUAGCUGGUUCCUGCCGAAGUUUCCCUCAGGAUAGCAGUAACGUUUUCAGUUUUAUGAGGUAAAGCGAAUGAUUAGAGGCCUGGGGGUUGAAACAACCUUCACCUAUUCUCAAACUUUAAAUAUGUAAGAAGUCCUUGUUACUUGAUUGAACGUGGACAUUUGAAUGUAUCGUUACUAGUGGGCCAUUUUUGGUAAGCAGAACUGGCGAUGCGGGAUGAACCGAACGCGGGGUUAAGGUGCCGGAAUGCACGCUCAUCAGACACCACAAAAGGUGUUAGUUCAUCUAGACAGCAGGACGGUGGCCAUGGAAGUCGGAAUCCGCUAAGGAGUGUGUAACAACUCACCUGCCGAAUGAACUAGCCCUGAAAAUGGAUGGCG
rnacentral:rRNA from 1 species